rnacentral:RNase_P_RNA from 1 species
GGUGGCCGCGCCGGCGUGUUUGCCGGUGAGGAAAGUCCGGGCUCCGCAGGGCAGGGCGCUGGGUAACGCCCAGGCGGCGCAAGCCGACGGAAAGUGGCACAGAAACCACACCGCCAGCGGCCGCAGCGGGCAGCCCGUGGUGCCAGUCGGACGGCGCAACAGCGCGGACGCAACAGUCUUGCGGCCCUUGCAAUGGGGCCGGCGCCUAAGUGCACUCCCGGUACCGUCUUGGAGGCGGCGCGUUGGCAGGACGAGCAGGGCGGGCGAUCCUGCCAGGUAGGUUUCGCGACCGCGCAGAGGAGUGCGAUCGCAGGUCGCCGUGGGCCGAGUACCGAGACGCCGGAAACUGGAGGUACGCGCGAGGUUGCCCGCGUAUUUGGCGGUUCUGACCUGGGCGCCGUGGGCUGUCCGCUGCGGUGCGGGCAAGGGUGAAAUGGUGGGGUAAGAGCCCACCAGCGGCGUGGCGACACGCCGGCUGGCCAAACCCCGCCCGGAGCAAGGCCGAAUAGGGGAGCUUGGGGCCCGGCGCUCACGUGCCGGCCCGUUUGGGUGGACGCAGUCUCGGGGGCUGGUUAGGACGCUCGGCGGGGGACGCCAAAUCCCUGGCCGAGCGGAAUUCCGGUCCCUGCGGCAGAGAGCGUGACGCCGGGCCCCUGCCGGUGGCCCGCCGGUCGCUCCCGGGUAGGCCGCGCCGAGGCUGGCUCGCAAGAGCCUGCCCCAGAUGAAUGGCCACC